rnacentral:rRNA from 1 species
GUGAAAUUGUUGAAAGGGAAACGAUUGAAGCCAGUCGUACCUUCGGGUAAUCAGCCUUUCGGGUGCGAUUCUGUGGAGUUUGAGGAGCUUAACACCUUCAUGCUUUGCAUAUUCGUGCUCUUGGGUGUACUUGCCCGUGUGGUUGGUUAACAUCAAUUUCGGGCACCAUAAAAUGGCUGGAGGAAUGUAGCUUCGAUCUUGUAUUGAAGUGUUAUAGCCCUUGGUAGAUGUGAUGUCUGGGAUCGAGGUUUGCAACGGAUACCCUUCGGGGCUAACCGCCUGAUCUCUAAUUGGUGUUAGGUUACGGACAGCAUGCUGACCGUGAUCUAAUUACUGGUUAAAAGGUUAGAGCGUGUAUAAAUUCGUUAAGGACGCUGACGUAAUGGCUUUAAACGAC